rnacentral:rRNA from 1 species
CCCCGGCUAAAGCCCCGACGGGAGGGGAUGGCUCCGCGGCCCAUCAGGUAGACGGCGGGGUGACGGCCCACCGUGCCGACAACGGGUAGCCGGGUUGAGAGACCGACCGGCCAGAUUGGGACUGAGACACGGCCCAGACUCCUACGGGAGGCAGCAGUGGGGAAUCUUGCGCAAUGGGGGGAACCCUGACGCAGCGACGCCGCGUGCGGGACGGAGGCCUUCGGGUCGUAAACCGCUUUCAGCAGGGAAGAGUCAAGACUGUACCUGCAGAAGAAGCCCCGGCUAACUACGUGCCAGCAGCCGCGGUAAUACGUAGGGGGCGAGCGUUAUCCGGAUUCAUUGGGCGUAAAGCGCGCGUAGGCGGCCCGGCAGGCCGGGGGUCGAAGCGGGGGGCUCAACCCCCCGAAGCCCCCGGAACCUCCGCGGCUUGGGUCCGGUAGGGGAGGGUGGAACACCCGGUGUAGCGGUGGAAUGCGCAGAUAUCGGGUGGAACACCGGUGGCGAAGGCGGCCCUCUGGGCCGAGACCGACGCUGAGGCGCGAAAGCUGGGGGAGCGAACAGGAUUAGAUACCCUGGUAGUCCCAGCCGUAAACGAUGGACGCUAGGUUUGGGGGGAAGAUCCCCCAGUGCCGCAGCCAACGCAUUAAGCGUCCCGCCUGGGGAGUACGGCGGCAAGGCUAAAACUCAAAGGAAUUGACGGGGGCCCGCACAAGCAGCGGAGCAUGUGGAUUAAUUCGAAGCAACGCGAAGAACCUUACCAGGGCUUGACAUAUGGGUGAAGCGGGGGAGACCCCGUGGCUGAGAGGAGCCCAUACAGGUGGUGCAUGGAUGUCGUCAGCUCGUGUCGUGAGAUGUUGGGUUAAGUCCCGCAACGAGCGCAACCCCCGCCGCGUGUUGCCAUCGGGUGAUGCCGGGAACCCACGCGGGACCGCCGCCGUCAAGGCGGAGGAGGGCGGGGAAGACGUCAAGUCAUCAUGCCCCUUAUGCCCUGGGCUGCACACGUGCUACAAUGGCCGGUACAGAGGGAUGCCACCCCGCGAGGGGGAGCGGAUCCCGGAAAGCCGGCCCCAGUUCGGAUUGGGGGCUGCAACCCGCCCCCAUGAAGUCGGAGUUGCUAGUAAUCGCGGAUCAGCAUGCCGCGGU